rnacentral:rRNA from 1 species
UACGUAGGGGGCAAGCGUUGUCCGGAUUUACUGGGCGUAAAGAGCGUGUAGGCGGCCAAACAGGUCCGUUGUGAAAACUGGAGGCUUAACCUCCAGACGUCGACGGAAACCGUGUGGCUAGAGUCCGGAAGAGGAGAGUGGAAUUCCUGGUGUAGCGGUGAAAUGCGCAGAUAUCAGGAAGAACACCUAUGGCGAAGGCAGCACUCUGGGACGGUACUGACGCUGAGACGCGAAAGCGUGGGGAGCGAACAGG